rnacentral:rRNA from 1 species
GACGAACGCUGGCGGCGUGCUUAACACAUGCAAGUCGAACGGAAAGGCCCUGCUUUUGCGGGGUGCUCGAGUGGCGAACGGGUGAGUAACACGUGAGUAACCUGCCCUUGACUUUGGGAUAACUUCAGGAAACUGGGGCUAAUACCGGAUAGGAGCUCCUGCUGCAUGGUGGGGGUUGGAAAGUUUCGGCGGUUGGGGAUGGACUCGCGGCUUAUCAGCUUGUUGGUGGGGUAGUGGCUUACCAAGGCUUUGACGGGUAGCCGGCCUGAGAGGGUGACCGGCCACAUUGGGACUGAGAUACGGCCCAGACUUCUACGGGAGGCAGCAGUGGGGAAUAUUGCACAAUGGGCGGAAGCCUGAUGCAGCAACGCCGCGUGCGGGAUGACGGCCUUCGGGUUGUAAACCGCUUUCGCCUGUGACGAAGCGUGAGUGACGGUAAUGGGUAAAGAAGCACCGGCUAACUACGUG